UACGAAGGGGGCUAGCGUUGCUCGGAAUGACUGGGCGUAAAGGGCGCGUAGGCGGUUUAUGCAGUCAGAUGUGAAAUCCCCGGGCUUAACCUGGGAACUGCAUUUGAGACGCAUAGACUAGAGGUCGAGAGAGGGUUGUGGAAUUCCCAGUGUAGAGGUGAAAUUCGUAGAUAUUGGGAAGAACACCGGUGGCGAAGGCGGCAACCUGGCUCGAUACUGACGCUGAGGCGCGAAAGCGUGGGGAGCAAACAGG
rnacentral:rRNA from 1 species